rnacentral:rRNA from 1 species
AGGGCACCACCAGAUAUGGAGCCUGCGGCUUAAUUUGACUCAACACGGGGAAACUUACCCGGCCCGGACACUAGUAGGAUUGACAGAUUGAGAGCUCUUUCUUGAUUCAGUGGGUGGUGGUGCAUGGCCGUUCUUAGUUGGUGGAGCGAUUUGUCUGGUUAAUUCCGAUAACGAACGAGACUCUAGCCUACUAAAUAGACUGCUGAUCUUUUUGUGUGCCUAUCACUGCUUCUUCUUCGGGGCGGGGGCGCUUGCGCUGACGAGAGAGAGGCAUCACAGAUGUGCAGGCCCCUGAUCUGCCCCGCGAUGCACACGCGCUACAGGGAAGGAAUGCCCUUGUGUGCCCUGCCCCCCAGGCGUGGUAAACCGAAUGGACCUCCUUCCUCUUGACGGUUACUACACAGUCUUAUUCCCUUACCCGAUGAAUUCCCUUCAUGAUUGAGACAUAAGAUUGCGUUAUUACCCCUCUGUGCUUUUUCACACCGCGCGCCGCUCCUACUCUUGCGUUGAUUACGUGAG